rnacentral:tRNA from 1 species
AAAAUCCGUCGACUUUAGAAAUCGUGAGGGUUCCCNNUUUUCCCCA